UACAGAGGGGGGCAAGCGUUAUUCGGAAUUAUUGGGCGUAAAGGGCGCGUAGGCGGCUUUGCAAGUGACGGGUGAAAUCCCUCGGCUUAACCGAGGAACUGCCUGUCAGACUGCAUGGCUUGAGACCGGGAGAGGUGAGUGGAAUUCCCAGUGUAGCGGUGAAAUGCGUAGAUAUUGGGAGGAACACCAGUGGCGAAGGCGGCUCACUGGACCGGUACUGACGCUGAUGCGCGAAAGCGUGGGGAGCAAACAGG
rnacentral:rRNA from 1 species